UACGUAGGGUGCGAGCGUUGUCCGGAAUUAUUGGGCGUAAAGAGCUCGUAGGCGGUUUGUCGCGUCGACUGUGAAAACCCGAGGCUUGACCUCGGGCCUGCAGUCGAUACGGGCAGACUAGAGUUCGGUAGGGGAGACUGGAAUUCCUGGUGUAGCGGUGAAAUGCGCAGAUAUCAGGAGGAACACCGGUGGCGAAGGCGGGUCUCUGGGCCGUAACUGACGCUGAGGAGCGAAAGCGUGGGGAGCGAACAGG
rnacentral:rRNA from 1 species